UUCUAAGGGCGGUGAAGUCAGACCGGAAGGACUGGUGGAGCGCUUAGAAGUGAGAAUGCCGGUAUGAGUAGCGAAAGAAGGGUGAGAAUCCCUUCCACCGAAUAUCUAAGGUUUCCUGAGGAAGGCUCGUCCGCUCAGGGUUAGUCGGGACCUAAGCCGAGGCCGAUAGGCGUAGGCGAUGGACAACAGGUAGAGAUUCCUGUACCAGUGCUAAUUGUUUAACCGAUGGGGUGACACAGAAGGAUAGGGAAUCGCACGAAUGGAAAUGUGCGUCCAAGCAGUGAGUGUGAGAAGUAGGCAAAUCCGCUUCUCGCGAAGCAUGAGCUGUGAUGGGGAAGGAAAUUAAGUACGGAAGUUCCUGAUUUCACGCUGUCAAGAAAAGCCUCUAGGAAGAGUAGUACUGCCCGUACCGCAAACCGACACAGGUAGAUGAGGAGAGAAUCCUAAGGUGAGCGAGAGAACUCUCGUUAAGGAACUCGGCAAAAUGACCCCGUAACUUCGGGAGAAGGGGUGCUCUAUUAGGGUGCAAGCCCGAGAGAGCCGCAGUGAAUAGGCCCAGGCGACUGUUUAGCAAAAACACAGGUCUCUGCAAAACCGUAAGGUGACGUAUAGGGGCUGACGCCUGCCCGGUGCUGGAAGGUU
rnacentral:rRNA from 1 species